UAUGUGUUAUAGUAUGGAUCAUGCCUUGGCUGUUCAUAGUAUCCUCCAAAUGUAUGUCUAGGCUGGUCAUACUCAUAACGUGUAGAACAUUGAUUAGUUGGAUAUCCUACGUAUGCAUAAUUCCCACAUGGUGUUGGUAGCUGGGAUGCUUGAACCUGUUGCACUAUGUCUAUGGCAAGGUCUUUCAUAAAAGAUGUCAGAAAAUAAAAAUCAGAUCUACUUACCUCAUCCAUGAUUCAGAUGUGCAAUUGAGAUGUUUCAGAAGAUGGUUCUGCACAGAGU
rnacentral:lncRNA from 1 species